AGGACGAACGCUGGCGGCGUGCUUAACACAUGCAAGUCGAGCGGAAAGGCCCUUCGGGGUACUCGAGCGGCGAACGGGUGAGUAACACGUGAGCAAUCUGCCCUUAGCUCUGGGAUAGCUCCGGGAAACCGGGAUUAAUACCAGAUAUGACCACUUUAGACAUACUGAUGUGGUGGAAAGAAUUUCGGCUAGGGAUGAGCUCGCGGCCUAUCAGCUUGUUGGUGGGUAAUGGCCUACCAAGGCGACGACGGGUAG
rnacentral:rRNA from 1 species